AAGGUAUCAUGGGCGAGAUUGGAGGAGGAGUGAAGAGGAAAGGAGAGGUGGGGGAAAGAGGAAUCAUCGACGGAGAAAGAUAGAGGUGGAGGGAGCCAUCAUGGAGGGGCAAAGCUUAUGAGUGGGUUUGGAAGAGAAGGACAAUGAUGAGAAAAAAGAGGUGAGGAGGAAGAGGAGAGAAAAAAAAAGGUUGUCGAUGAGAAAGGAGUGGAGGUAGAGGGAGUCACCA
rnacentral:lncRNA from 1 species